ACAGGGAGAGAAUGGUGUGGUCUUCUACCUGAAUCUGGAUGUUGUGGAGACCAACUGCAGCGUACUCAGCAAGAAAGAUUGGAAGAGCUGUGACAUUCGUAGUGGCCAUACGCAGGUAUAUGGACAGUGCAAAGCUGUUAUCUUCAUCAGUAAGGUACACAGAGUGGUUCGUCUCUACAAAUACAAGUGUGCUAUCAGACCAGGUAGGGUGCUUCAGUUCUGUGGUGGCUGUCCAGGUUUAACUGACCAUAAUCACGAUAAAGUUCAGAAGGCUGUGACUCAAUCUCUGGAGAAGUUCAAUCAGCAGAGUGGGCUGGCCAAUCGUUUUGCUCUGCUCAAAAUCUCCCGUGCUACUUCAC